rnacentral:lncRNA from 1 species
AUAUUAAUAAUAAUUAUUAUAACUUAUAUUCUCUUUAUAGGGAGAGAUUUAUAGUUUGCCCACAUACUAUUUAAUAAAGUUUAUAAAAAAAUAUAUGUAUACGGGUACCCGUACCCGAUUUAGACCCGACCAGUACCCGAUCUUAAAGGGAUAGUAUACGGGUAGUCACUACCCAGACCUACUUAAAUAAGUCCGACGGGUAUAUUUGUAACUUAAGUAUUCAUAUCCGGACAAGUUAAAUGGGUAGGGCAUAUAAUUCUUUUUCUAACUAAUUUUUUUUAGGGUAUGGGUAC